rnacentral:rRNA from 1 species
UACGUAGGCAGCGAGCGUUGUUCGGAGUUACUGGGCGUAAAGAGUGCGUAGGCGGUUUUCUAAGUUUGGUGUGAAAUCUCCCGGCUCAACUGGGAGGGUGCGCCGAAGACUGGAAGGCUUGAGUAUGGGAGAGGUAAGCGGAAUCCCUGGUGUAGCGGUGAAAUGCGUAGAUAUCAGGAGGAAUACCAGAGGCGAAGGCGGCGCACUGGACGGUAACUGACACUCAAUUGCGAAAGCGUGGGUAGCAAACAGG